GGGACGAACGCUGGCGGCGUGCUUAACACAUGCAAGUCGAGCGGAAAGGCCCUUCGGGGUACUCGAGCGGCGAACGGGUGAGUAACACGUGAGCAACCUGCCCUUAGCUCCGGGAUAGCUCCGGGAAACCGGAAUUAAUACCGGAUACGACCACGGCCGACAUCUGCUGUGGUGGAAAGGAUUCCGGCUAAGGAUGGGCUCGCGGCCUAUCAGCUAGUUGGUGGAGUAACGGCCCACCAAGGCGACGACGGGUA
rnacentral:rRNA from 1 species